rnacentral:rRNA from 1 species
UNUGACUUGAGUGCAGAAGGGGAGAGUGGAAUUCCAUGUGUAGCGGUGAAAUGCGUAGAUAUAUGGAGGAACACCAGUGGCGAAAGCGGCUCUCUGGUCUGUCACUGACGCUGAGGCUCGAAAGCGUGGGUAGCGAACAGGAUUAGAUACCCUGGUAGUCCACGCCGUAAACGAUGAGUGCUAGGUGUUAGGCCCUUUCCGGGGCUUAGUGCCGGAGCUAACGCAAUAAGCACUCCGCCUGGGGAGUACGACCGCAAGGUUGAAACUCAAAGGAAUUGACGGGGGCCCGCACAAGCGGUGGAGCAUGUGGUUUAAUUCGAAGCAACGCGAAGAACCUUACCAGGUCUUGACAUCCCGAUGCUAUUCUUAGAGAUAGGAAGUUACUUCGGUACAUCGGAGACAGGUGGUGCAUGGUUGUCGUCAGCUCGUGUCGUGAGAUGUUGGGUUAAGUCCCGCAACGAGCGCAACCCUUAUUGUUAGUUGCCAUCAUUAAGUUGGGCACUCUAGCGAGACUGCCGGUAAUAAACCGGAGGAAGGUGGGGAUGACGUCAAAUCAUCAUGCCCCUUAUGACCUGGGCUACACACGUGCUACAAUGGUCGGUACAACGAGUUGCGAGCCGGUGACGGCAAGCUAAUCUCUGAAAGCCGAUCUCAGUUCGGAUUGGAGGCUGCAACUCGCCUCCAUGAAGUCGGAAUCGCUAGUAAUCGCGGAUCAGCACGCCGCGGUGAAUACGUUCCCGGGCCUUGUACACACCGCCCGUCACACCACGAGAGUUUGUAACACCCGAAGUC